GAUGAACGCUGGCGGCGUGCCUAAUACAUGCAAGUCGAGCGAACGGACGAGAAGCUUGCUUCUCUGAUGUUAGCGGCGGACGGGUGAGUAACACGUGGAUAACCUACCUAUAAGACUGGGAUAACUUCGGGAAACCGGAGCUAAUACCGGAUGAUAUUUUGAACCGCAUGGUUCAAAAGUGAAAGACGGUCUUGCUGUCACUUAUAGAUGGAUCCGCGCUGCAUUAGCUAGUUGGUAAGGUAACGGCCUACCAAGGCAACGAUGCAUAGCCGACCUGAGAGGGUGAUCGGCCACACUGGAACUGAGACACGGUCCAGACUCCUACGGGAGGCAGCAGUAGGGAAUCUUCCGCAAUGGGCGAAAGCCUGACGGAGCAACGCCGCGUGAGUGAUGAAGGUCUUCGGAUCGUAAAACUCUGUUAUUAGGGAAGAACAUAUGUGGAAGUAACUGUGCACAUCUUGACGGUACCUAAUCAGAAAGCCACGGCUAACUACGUG
rnacentral:rRNA from 1 species